UGGGGAAUUUUGGACAAUGGACGCAAGUCUGAUCCAGCCAUGCCGCGUGCGGGAAGAAGGCCUUCGGGUUGUAAACCGCUUUUGUCAGGGAAGAAACGAGUUUCUCUAAUACAGAGACUUAAUGACGGUACCUGAAGAAUAAGCACCGGCUAACUACGUGCCAGCAGCCGCGGUAAUACGUAGGGUGCGAGCGUUAAUCGGAAUUACUGGGCGUAAAGCGUGCGCAGGCGGUUAUAUAAGACAGAUGUGAAAUCCCCGGGCUCAACCUGGGAACUGCAUUUGUGACUGCAUAGCUGGAGUGCGGCAGAGGGGGAUGGAAUUCCGCGUGUAGCAGUGAAAUGCGUAGAUAUGCGGAGGAACACCGAUGGCGGAGGCAAUCCCCUGGGCCUGCACUGACGCUCAUGCACGAAAGCGUGGGGAGCAAACA
rnacentral:rRNA from 1 species